rnacentral:rRNA from 1 species
UCCUAACUCUGGCGGCGUGCUUAACACAUGCAAGUCGAACGGAAAGGCCCUGCUUUUGUGGGGUGCUCGAGUGGCGAACGGGUGAGUAACACGUGAGUAACCUGCCCUUGACUUUGGGAUAACUUCAGGAAACUGGGGCUAAUACCGGAUAGGAGCUCCUGCUGCAUGGUGGGGGUUGGAAAGUUUCGGCGGUUGGGGAUGGACUCGCGGCUUAUCAGCUUGUUGGUGGGGUAGUGGCUUACCAAGGCUUUGACGGGUAGCCGGCCUGAGAGGGUGACCGGCCACAUUGGGACUGAGAUACGGCCCAGACUCCUACGGGAGGCAGCAGUGGGGAAUAUUGCACAAUGGGCGGAAGCCUGAUGUAGCAACGCCGCGUGCGGGAUGACGGCCUUCGGGUUGUAAACCGCUUUCGCCUGUGACGAAGCGUGAGUGACGGUAAUGGGUAAAGAAGCACCGGCUAACUACGUG